rnacentral:rRNA from 1 species
CGUAGGGCGCAAGCGUUGUCCGGAAUUAUUGGGCGUAAAGAGCUCGUAGGCGGUCCGUUACGUCGGGAGUGAAAACCCGGGGCUUAACCCUGGGCCUGCUUUCGAUACGGGCGGACUAGAGUAUGGCAGGGGAGACUGGAAUUCCUGGUGUAGCGGUGAAAUGCGCAGAUAUCAGGAGGAACACCGGUGGCGAAGGCGGGUCUCUGGGCCAUUACUGACGCUGAGGAGCGAAAGCGUGGGGAGCAAACAGGAUUAGAUACCCUGGUAGUCCACGCCGUAAACGUUGGGCGCUAGGUGUGGGGGUCUUUCCACGACCUCUGUGCCGCAGCUAACGCAUUAAGCGCCCCGCCUGGGGAGUACGGCCGUAAGGCUA